CAAUUGCUAAUUUAAAUUCGUUAAAAACCGGUAUAUUUAUAGAUAUUAAAAUACAAAUUUUCUACGUUUCAUCGUCAACGUUUUGUUGUGGUAAGCGAGAUUCGUAGUAUAAACGUGUGGUAAAACCGUUUAUAUUUCUAGUCUUAUGAACAGUUAAUAUACAUGUUUUAUUCCUUCACCGGUAACACAAGUUUAACGUUUAAUUCACUGCUUUUCUACAACAUUUAAACAACGGUUUCUAGACUAAUAAUCAACGUUUUGUUUACUAGUUCAAUUGCUAAUUUAAAUUCGUUAAAAACCGGUAUAUUUAUAGAUAUUAAAAUACAAAUUUUCUACGUUUCAUCGUCAACGUUUUGUUGUGGUAAGCGAGAUUCGUAGUAUAAACGUGUGGUAAAACCGUUUAUAUUUCUAGUCUUAUGAACAGUUAAUAUACAUGUUUUAUUCCUUCACCGGUAACACAAGUUUAACGUUUAAUUCACUGCUUUUCUACAACAUUUAAACAACGGUUUCUAGACUAAUAAUCAACGUUUUGUUUACUAGCUCAAUUGUCAAUUUAAAUUCGUUAAAAAUCGGUAUAUUUGUAGGUAUUAAAAUACAAAAUUUCUGCGUUCCAUCAUCAACGUUUUAUUGUGGUAAGCGAGAUCCGUAGUAUAAACGUGUGGUAAAAUCCAUUAUAUUUCUAGUCUCAUGAACAGCUAAUAUACAUAUUUUAUUCCUUCACCAGUAACACAAGUUUAACGUUUCGUAUAGUUACCAUACCUUGCCAAUAUGUUCUCAUUAAUUGUUUAAUAAUUAAGUCAAUACACUUUUGAUCUACUGAUCACAUGUAAUACGUGAAAAUUACGUCGUACAUAGACUUGUCAUAUCGAUACACAGAAUUAUAUACCUACUCGGGCCGAAACGUAAACAAGAUUUGUUUCGUACCUUUCUGACCUUCAUAUCCAAGAAUACUACCCUUUUCAACAUAGUGAGGGCAGGAAUCAACUUUUACAUCAUUUACUUACAUAUUGCGAUGUUUGAAUUUGGAACUAUAAUCAUUAUAUUCAAGUUUUUCUCAUGUUAGCAGUGACUAAAAUUCAACGUUUUGUUAUCCUCCUCAGCACGUUUUUCUGAUUACCUUAAAUUUUGUAAACAACUGGUCAUUCGAUUUCCAAUCUUUUUUUUCAUUCGAUAAACUAGUAAGUAUCAUCAAAAAUAUGAAAAAAUUCAGGUGACAUAACACUAGAAGUGAUAAUUUUAUUCUACGUAAUAUUGUAAAGUAGAACAAUAUGUUACCUCCAUUUUUUCAAAUUCUUUUCCUUGUGUUAUUGUUAAUUCCCUAACAUAGGAAAAAAAGUUGAAAAAUCGAUGAACAGAUUUUUUUACAAAGGUCACCAAGAAAUUACGUAGUUGAGCAUAUAAGUGCAUCCCUUCGCGGCGUCUUUAUUAAUUGUAAAACAUACGUUUUCCUAUACCAUAAUGUAUAUAUUGGAAUAACCCAUGCUAGGAAAGGGAGUGGCCGUAGAUGAAGCUCGUGUACCAUGGAUGUUACAUAUACGUAUAAUGAGCGCAUGUAUCAAACGACAAGCGGUCGCGAAGAAUCGAGAAUGUCCGAGCGUGAAAUACUCGCGCCUCUUCUUCUGCCUCUGAUUGGCUCGCUAGGUCAGCGUGUUGUAACUCGUACGGUUCCUGCACGCUGAGAGCCGAGGACGACGCGCCAGAAUGCCCCCCCCCCACCACCGUUCGCGAAGGCUCUCAGCUCACGCGAUCAGUGAAUCAGUCUAAUUUGACCAACUUCCGAGGUCAGUGCACGUCCGUGUUUAUGUGAGCCUUCAUAAGCUGGUAUUUGACGGAUUAGCAGUGAUAUCGAGGAAGUGAAUGCUCCAGCUGCGGUCGAAUAAUAAUUAAAACUUAUGCGUACUGCGUACCUAGACAACGCUUUCUAUAGCGUCUGUGUUCUUUUUUGAAAUAAUGUGCCAAUACUUUUUAUUAUUUUACUUUGUCAGGAUUGUGAUUUUUUACCUAGUCCCGAGAUGAAAGUUAACAAUUUUCCUCGUUAGGGUAUAAUCAUUGUAUGAUUAUUUUGUUUCAUGUUUUAUUUCUUAUCAAACCUCUUGUAUCGGAUAUAAGUUUUUGUUUGUUCAUGUUUACUUAAUUUUACUAUUUGCUAUACUUCUAUACUCUUGUGAGUACAUCUGUACAAUUGAGGUAUGCGUAUAUGUAAAAGACUGUAUGUUUAUUUAUACAUCCCAGUCAACAUUCACACAGUUACAUCGUUGGCAUAAUAAAAUGUCCGCAUCAACGAUACAGACAAACUGGUAUAUAAAAAACUACUGUUAUGUUUCGGAUACAUUGUUAAAGCGGAUAUUUCGAUACGUGUGCAAUGUAACUAUUGUCAUUGUUGCCUUGGAUGAAAGUACCUUAUAAUAAAUAUAUAUCAUGUUUCGCAAA
rnacentral:lncRNA from 1 species